rnacentral:lncRNA from 1 species
ACUCGCUCGAUCACUUUUUUAAAAAUAAGUUUUCAUACACAUAAACUCGGGGUAUCUUCGGGUAUGUCCACUCCCUUUCGGAAUCUGUCAAGGGGCCGCUCAUGACGCCAGUAUAGUGAAAUGUGUAGGGAGCCGCUGGUGAGGGAGAAGUGAGCGCGAGGGGGGCGGAAACGCUACCUCGCGAGGGGGGAGGGGGGUCCCAGAGGUAUUGCUAUGAGAAAACAGGAACCUGGAAAGCCUAAUGCCAAAGUGGAGUGAGGAGGGUCAUCCUUGGGUUCUCCCUUCACUCAAACACACCAUCUGUGUUCCAUGGGUUCUCUCCAUUCAGAGCUGCCAGCCUGCGUCCCUCGGCCGCUCGGGUCUAGUCCGAAUUGAGCGGCUUACCAGCAGCGCACAUGGCGGCAUGUUCCGGAAUAAGCAGCGGUGUAGAUGAGUUCAUUCCUCGUUUCUGGUGAGCAUGUGGAGUUCUCCCCGAUGUUUGUCUCUCUAACUGUAAACGAGAUCCGCCUGUAGCCCCGAUUUGCCACCGAUGGCUCGCUCAAUUCGUGCUUACUGCGUGCGCCGGAAGACAAGGGCAAGUCAGAGGUACCAGCUAGAUAUUGCUCUGCCUCCUGCGCAUUCGUCAUGUCUACUAUGAAGUCUCUGUGUGAGCUGGAGCAUUAUCACCGUGGAAAACACUUGUUUCCACAUGGCAGCAAAGAUGAUACAACCAUGCAAUGUGUCUGACGGUUUCCAGGAUAUGAGAACAAGAUGACCCCUGUCGAAGCAUAUACACAGGAGUCCAGGACGUUGUUCGGGUGAACGUGAGGGCGGGUCUAGGGCGCGAGCACGUCUUAACGCCAGCAAGUCUGAUUUCCUUCGGUGCACCUCCUAUUCUCUCUCGAGAUCGGGAGUUGAUGGUCGUCAACUGCAAUGGUGUGUACCGGUCGUGACUACAGCAGGACAGAAUUCUGGUUCCAUAAAUCCUACGAGUUCACUUACCACACAAGUGUGUGGAGUGUGGAGCGAUUCUAGAAGGUGAAUGUGAUUCAGAGGGAUCCGUUACAUUUAGACAGUCUGUUUUGGUGCAGAGCGAUUGAUGCCACAACGCUACCUGUACUCUACUCGACGCUUAACACCUGGCUACCUUUUAUCUAGCGGAGGAGUGAGCUGACGCUUGCCUGUUUUCCGUGUGUUUUCUCAUUUCGGCGGACUCCGGGAGAACUCGCCAAGCUGAUGGUGGCUCACGCUCCCAUGAAAAAAAAAACGUUGGGGAAGCAUUGUUUAGGUGCGUUUGUUUCUCCUUGACCCUAUAACGCAACCACACCAUACUCAACUGUUUAUACUUUGAUGCAACAAAGAACCAUUCCUUCUCUCACGGCAG